rnacentral:lncRNA from 1 species
UUCCGAUCUGUUUCUCCAGGCAUGUUUGAAUCAUGCAUUGGUAGGUGGCGUCGGCGUUCUUGAGCCCGAAGGGCAUGGUGUUGAAGCAGAAUGGACCAUAUGGGGUGAUAAAUGUUGUUGCAGCUUGAUCGUACUCCUUCAUUUUAAUUUCAUGGUAUCUGGAAUAUGCGUUGAGGAAACACAGUGAGCCGUGUCCUGCGGUAGCAUCAAUGAUUUGAUCGAUGCGGGGGAGGGGAAGGGAUCCUUAGGGCAAGCCUUAUUGAGGUCUUUAAAAUCGACGCACAGGCGCCAGGAUUUAUCCUUCUUUGGUACCAUCACCAGGUUUGCCAGCCAAUCCGGAUGUUUUAUUUCUCUAAUGAAUCUGGCCUCGAUUAGCUUGGCUAGCUCCUCUCCCAUGGCUUGGCGUUUGGGUUUGGAAAAGCGCCGUAGUAUUUGUUUGACCGGUUUGUAUCCCUUUAAUAUGUUGAGGCUGUAUUCGGCCAUCUCACGUGGGAUUCCUGGCAUGUCAGAGGGGUUCCAGGCGAAUAUAUCCCAAUUUUCGCGAAGAAAAUCCCAUAGUGCAGCGUCGACCGUUGGGUCUAGUUGUGCCCCAAUAGAUGUUGUCUUCUUGGGGUCCGUUGGGUGGACCUGGAAUUUGACUAUUUCUUCCGCUAGCUUGAAGGAGGUGGAUUUGGGGCAUUUGUCUAAGAUUACAUCAUCUCUAUCCAUCGUGGAGCGCAGUGCAGUUAAUUCUUCGGCCACGAGGGCUUCAGAUAAUUCCUCAAGGGCCAGGGAUGCGGUUUUAUUUUCGGCACGAAGUGCUAUGUCCGGAUCAUUGGCGAGAGUGAUUAUGCCGUUGGGCCCGGGCAUCUUAAGCUUCAUGUACCCGUAAUGAGGUACAGCUUGGAAGCGUGUAAAUGCCUCUCGCCCCAAGAGGGCGUGAUAUCCACUGUUGAAAGGGGCCACUUGGAAGGUUAUUUCUUCUGACCGGUAAUUCUCCAGCGUGCUGAAUACCACGUCGAGUGUUAUUUUUCCCGCACACCGUGCCUCCCGACUGGGAAUGAUUACUCGGAAGGUCGUGCUGCUUUGCUUGAUGCGGCUCUUGUCUAUUUCCAUUUUGUGGAGUGUAUCUUCAUAGAAGAGGUUUAGUUCGCUACCGCCGUCCAUGAGAACCUUGGUGAGCCGAAAGCCGUGCACAAUUGGACUGAGGACCAAGGCGGCUGGUGCUCGGACUGUCUUGUAUUUUGGUUCGUCACCGGCAUUGAAAGUUAUAGCCAUGUCGUUCCAAGGGUUUAUUGCUGCUAUUUGACAGACUUCGGCGAGUUCGUGGAGUGCCCUUUUGCGCCUAUUGUUUGAGGCGAAUGUCUCGAAGACCAUCAGUACUUUGGGGUCGUCGUCUUCUGGGGGGUGUUGUUCUGGGGUAUUCUUGGUGAGGAUAUCCUCGCCGCUCUUGGCCACUCACUGGAGUAUCCAACAUGCUCUAAGGCUAUGUGUUGGUAUGUUGUCCGGAGUUGCGUGUAUUUUGCAUGGCCCAUCGAGCCAUCCUUCCAGAACGGUUCCGUGCCUUGUACUGGACUUAUAUUUCUUAACUAUCGGACCGGGCGUGUUACAAGGGCGCGCCCUUUUCGCCUAAUGAGGGAUUGAGUGGGGACCGAUGGUUCCCAACGGGCUGCCUGAGUUUUCCAGGCGCUUUCCAUUGCGCUGUACUUCUGUACAAUAGUUGCCAAGUCAGUGAACUGUAGUAUGCGACGGCGGUUGAUGGCGUUGAGGAUUCCUUCGUCCAUGCAAUUGUUGCGGAAUGCUGAGAUCGCUUCCUUGUCGCGACAAUCUUUAAUCUUGUCUUUGAUAAGAAGGAAUCUGACCAAGAAGUGGUGGACCGUUUCCUGAGACUGUUGUUGCAUGCUCAUGAGAGCGCUUAUAUUUGGGUGGGUGGGUGGUUUUAAAUCUGAACCCUGACCCAAUUUUGUAUCCGGAGUCUGAAGGACUUCCAGACUUAACAGAUCGGGCUCUGGGAUAUCCACUGAUUUCUUAGGCCCGUCGUCCGAUUCUAUGUUUGGAGGGCAGGAUGCAUCUCCUCGCAGGUGGAUGUCCGACUCUUCGAAGCUGGAGAUCCGGACAUAGUCCGUCCUUAGUAUGGAUGAAGAGUUGUCAUCUCGCUCCUCGACUAUCGCUAUCUGGUGGGUGAUCGGUGGAGAUUUGAUUUCUCUCUGAUCGGGUUUAAGCCCAAUUUGAUCGUAGUUUGUUGCGACCCCCAGGGCGGCGAUGCGAUCUAGGAGCUCAUUUAAAUACGAAAGCUCCAUUGGAUCCAUCUACUUGGAGUGUUCAGAGUCGAUACGAAGGGGAUUCUCAAUGACCCGAGACGUCAUCGUCGGCUCAACAACCGAACGGGCGGUCAUGGUAAAGCCGCCCAACCGGAGGGUUUGGCCCAGGGCCAGUGCUCCUCUGGAGGUGAUAUUGUCCUUGAGAACAAGGCGAGCCAUCGAUCCUGUCGUCGACGUCACAGUGGAACUCUCAAUGAAAGCACCAAUGUCAGUGUCAAAACCGGCGGAUCUCGAGUAGGGGUCCCGAACUAUGCGUCUAGGAUCGAUGGUAACAGGAGACGGGGGACACAAUGUUUUACCCAGGUUCGGGCCCUCGCUAUGGAGGUAAUACCCUACGUCAUGCGUGAUUGAUCUUGAUGAAUAUGAGUAUUACAAGAGUUGAUCUACCACGAGAUCGUAAUGACUAAACCCUAAAAGUCUAGUCAGGCCAUGAUUAUUUGGGGGGCUCUACGGACCUAGCCCUCCGGUUUAUAUAAGCACAGGAGGGAUCUAGGGUUACACAAGGUCGGUUACAGAGAAAGGAAUAUUCAUAUUUGGUCGCCAAGCUUGCCUCCCACGCCAAGGAGAGUCCCAUCCGGACACGGGUAGAGUCUUCAGUCUUCGUAUCUUCACAGCCCAUCAGUCCGGCCCAUAUCCAAUAGGUCGGACGCCCGAGGACCCCUUAGUCCAGGACUCCCUCACUCCGUUAUCCGGAACAAUGGAGCGAGCAACUGACUUAUUGGAAAUAAUACAUACUGAUGUAUGCGGUCCGAUGAGUGUUGAGGCUCGUGGCGGGUAUCGUUAUUUUCUGACCUGCACAGAUGAUUUAAGCAAAUAUGGGUAUAUCUACUUAAUGAAACAUAAGUCUGAAACAUUUGAAAAGUUCAAAGAAUUUCAGAGUGAAGUGGAAAAUCAUCGUAACAAGAAAAUAAAGUUUCUACGAUCUAAUCGUGGCGGUGAAUAUUUGAGUUAUGAGUUUGGUCUUCACUUGAACAAUGUGGAAUAGUUUCGCAACUCAUGCCACCUGGAACACCACAGCGUAAUGGUGUGUCUGAACAUCGUAACCGUACUUUAUUAGAUAUGGUGCGAUCUAUGAUGUCUCUUACUGAUUUGCCGCUAUCAUUUUGGGGUUAUGCUUUAGAGACAGCUGCAUUCACGUUAAAUAGGGCACCAUCUAAAUCCGUUGAGACGACACCAUAUGAACUGUGGUUUGGCAAGAAACCUAAGCUGUCGUUUCUUAAAGUUUGGGGCUGUGAUGCUUAUGUGAAAAAGCUUCAACCUAAUAAGAUCGAACCCAAAUCGGAGAAAUGUGUCUUCAUAGGAUACCCAAAGGAGAGUGUUGGGUAUACCUUCUAUCACAUAUUCGAAGGCAAGAUAUUCGUUGCUAAGAAUGGAUCCUUUCUAGAGAAGGAGUUUCUCUCGAAAGAAGUGAGUGGGAGGAAAGUAGAACUUGAUGAGGUAAUUGUACCUUCUCCUGAAUUGGAAAGUAGUUCAUCACAGAAAUCAGCUCCAGUGAUUCCUACACCAAUUAGUGAGGAAGCUAAUGAUGAUGAUCAUGAAACUUCAGAUCAAGUUCCUACCAAACCUCGUAGGUUAUCCCGUUCUGGAGGUCAUGUUACUAGACCAUGAUGAACCUACGAAGUAUGAGGAAGCGAUGAUGAUCCCAGAUUCCGCGAAAUGGCUUGAGGCCAUGAAAUCUGAGAUGGGAUCCAUGUAAGAGAACAAAGUGUGGACUUUGGUUGACUUGCCCUAUGAUCGGCAAGCAAUAGAGAAUAAAUGGAUCUUCAAGAAGAAGACUGACGCUGACGGUGAUGUUACUGUCUAUGAAGCUUGACUUGUUGCAAAAGGUUUUCGACAAGUUCAAGGAGUUCACUACGAUGAGACCUUCUCACCCAUAGUGAUGCUUAAGUCUGUUUGAAUCAUGUUAGCAAUUGCCGCAUUUUAUGAUUAUGAAAUUUGGCAAAUGGAUGUCAAAACUGCAUUCCUUAAUGGAUAUCUUAAAAAAGAGUUGUAUAUGAUGCAACCAGAAGGUUUUAUCGAUCCUAAAGGUGCUAACAAAGUGUGCAAGCUCCAGCGAUCCAUUUAUGGACUGUUGCAAGCCUCUCGGAGUUGGAAUAUAUGCUUUGAUAGUGUGAUCAAAGCAUAUGGUUUUAUACAGACUUUUGGAGAAGCAUGUAUUUACAAGAAAGUGAGUGGGAGCUCUAUAGCAUUUCUAAUAUUGUAUGUGGAUGACAUAUUGUUGAUUGGAAAUAAUACAGAAUUUCCGGAUAGCACAAAAGGAUACUUGAAUAAGAAUUUUUCAAUGAAAGACCUCGGUGAAGUUGCUUAUAUAUUGGGCAUCAAGAUCUAUAGAGAUAGAUCAAGAUGCUUAAUUGGACUUUCACAAAGCACAUACCUUGAUAAAGUUUUGAAGAAGUUCAAAAUGGAUCAGUCAAAGAAAGGGUUCUUGCUUGUGUUACAAGGUGUGAAGUUGAGUCAGACUCAAUGCCCGACCACUUCAGAAGAUAGAGAGAAAAUAAAGGUCAUUCCCUAUGCCUCAGCCAUAGGUUCUAUCAUGUAUGCAAUGCUGUGUACCAGACCUGGUGUGUGCCUUGCUAUAAGUUUAGCAGGGAGGUACCAAAGUAAUCCAGGAGUGGAUCACUGUACAGCGCUCAAGAACAUCCUGAAAUACCUGAAAAGGACUAAGGAUAUGUUUCUCGUUUAUGGAGGUGACAAAGAGCUUGUCGUAAAUGGUUACGUCGAUGCAAGCUUUCACACUGAUCUGAAUGACUCUAAGUCACAAACCAGAUACGUAUUUCUAUUGAAUGGUGGAGCUGUAAGUUGGUGCAGUUCCAAGCAGAGUGUCGUGGCGGGAUCUACGUGUGAAGCGGAAUACAUAGCUGCUUCAAAAGCAGCAAAAUGAAGGAGUUUGGAUGAAGGAGUUCAUAUCCGAUCUAGGUGUAAUACCUAGUGCAUCGGGUCCAAUGAAAAUCUUUUGUGACAAUAAUGAAGCGAUUGCCUUGGCAAAGGAAUCCAGAUUUCACAAGAGAACCAAACACAUCAAGAGAUGCUUCAAUUCCAUCCACGAUCAAGUCAAGGAGGGAGACAUAGAGAUUUGCAAGAUACAUAUGGAUCUGAAUGUUGUAGACCCUUUGACUAAGAGACUCUCAUGAGCAAAACAUGAUCAGCACCAAGACUCCAUGGGUGUUAGAAUCAUUACUAUGUAAUCUAGAUUAUUGACUCUAGUGCAAGUGGGAGACUGAAGGAAAUAUGCCCUAGAGGCAAUAAUAAAGUUGUUAUUUAUAUUUCCUUAUAUCAUGAUAAGUGUUUAUUAUUCAUGCUAGAAUUGUAUUAACCGGAAACUUAGUACAUGUGUGAAUACAUAGACAAACAGAGUGUCCCUAGUAUGCCUCUACUUGACUAGCUCGUUAAUCAAAGAUGGUUAAGUUUCUUGACCAUAGACAUGUGUUGUCAUUUGAUGAACGGGAUCACAUCUUUAGAGAAUGAUGUGAUGGACAAGACCCAUCUGUUAGCUUAGCAUUAUGAUCGUCUAGUUUUAUUGCUAUUGCUUUCUUCAUGACUUAUACAUAUUCCUCUGACUAUGAGAUUAUGCAACUCCCGAAUACCGGAGGAACACCUUGUGUGCUAUCAAAUGUCACAACGUAACUGGGUGAUUAUAAAGAUGCUCUAUAGGUGUCUCCGAAGGUGUUUGUUGAGUUGGCAUAGAACGGGAUUAGGAUUUGCCACUACGUGUAUUAGAGAGGUAUCUCUGGGCCCUCUCGGUAAUGCACAUCACUAUAAACCUUGCAAGCAAUGUGACUAAUGAGUUAGUUGCGGGAAGAUGCAUUACGAAACGAGUAAAGAGACUUUCCGGUAACGAGAUUGAACUAGGUAUGAUGAUACCGACGAUCGAAUCUCGGGCAAGUAACAUACCGACAACGAAGGGAAUGACAUAUGUUGUUAUGCGGUUUGGCGGAUAAAGAUCUUCGUAGAAUAUGUAGGAGCCAAUAUGAGCAUCCAGGUUCUGUUAUUGGUUAUUGACCGGAGAUGUGUCUCGGUCAUGUCUACAUAGUUCUCGAACCCGUAGGGUCCGCAUGCUUAACGUUUGAUGAGGAUUUGUAUUAUAAGUUAUAUGUUUUUGAUAACCAAAGUUUGUUUGAAGUCCCGCAUGAGAUCACAGACAUGACGAGGAGUCUCGAAAUGGUCGAGAGGUAAAGAUUGAUAUAUUGGAAGGUUAUAUACGGACACCGGAAUGGUUCCGAAGAAGAUCGGCGAUUUUUUGGAGUACCGGGAGGUUACCGGAACCCCCCGGGAAAGUCAUUGGGCCUAAUAGGCCAUAGUGGGGGAGAGGAGGCAGGCCACAAGAGGUGGGGCGCGCCCCCCUUGCCCCAAUCCGAAUUGGGCAAUGGGAGGGGCGCGUCCCCCCUCUUUCCUUCUCCCUCUCCCUCCUUUCCCCUUCCCCCCUCUCGGUUGGAAGGAAAGGGGGCGAGUCCUACUAGGAUUGGAGUCCUAGUAGGACCCCCCCCCCCUUGGUGCGCCUCCCCCUUGGUCGUCGUCAUGCUCCCCCUCCUUUAUAUACGUGGGCAGAGGGCACCCCAAAGGCACAACAUCAGUUGUCUUAGCCGAGUGUGGUUCCCCCCUCCACAGUUUACCAUCUUGGUCAUAUUGUCGUAGUGCUUAGGCGAAGCCCUGCGUGGAUCACAUCAUCAACACCGUCCCCAAACCUUCAUGCUGACAAAACUCUCCCUCGAUCCUCUACUGGAUCAAGAACUCAAGGGACGUAAUCGUGCUGAACGUGUGCUGAACACGGAGGUGCCGUACGUUCGAUACUUGGAUCGGUUGGAUCGUGAAGACGUUCAACUACAUCAAUUGCGUUACUAAAUGCUUACGCUUUCGGUCUACGAGGGUACAUGGACACACUCGCCCGUCUCGUUGAUAUGCAUCUCCUAGAUAGAUAUUGCGUGAUCGUAGGAAAUUUUUUGAAUUACUAUGUUCCCCAACAACUCUAUGGUGAUAGUUACCCUCACUAGACGCCAUACUCUCUAAGGUUGUGAACCAAGGCCAUGAUCACCAAAGCAAGGGAGAUCAAGGCUUACGGAGACCAAAGAUCUCAUACCACUUGUAGAAUCAAAAAUAUUUCUAGAGGGGGUUAUUAGACUACUUGACCAAAUAAAACCUAAACUUUUCCCAAUUUUAGUUGUAGGUAGAUUUUAGGAAUUAUGACAAGUCAAGUAACACCAUACACAUCCAAGUCUAAGAGUAUAGCAGCGAAAUAUAAGACAUAGCACAUGUAAGUAAAGGGAAGGGUUUGGACAAGGCAAAUGCAAUGGGGACACAAAGAUUUUUGGCGUGGUUCCAAUAGGUGGUGCUAUCGUACAUCCACAUUAAUGGAGACUUCAAACCACGAAGGGUAACAGUUAUGUGAGUCCAUGGAGGGCUCUUCAACCCACAAAGAGUAACGGUUGCGCAAGUCCACGGAGGGCUCUUCAAACCCACGAAGGGUAACGGUUGCGCGAGUCCACGGAUGGCUCCACCCAUGAAGGGGCCAUGAAGAAGCAACCUUGUCUAUCCCACCAUGGCCAUCGCCGACGAAGGACUUGCCUCACUCGGGUAGAUAUUCAUGAAGUAGGCGAUCUCCUUGCCCUUACAAACUUCUUGGUUCAACUCCACAACAUGUCGGGGGCUCCCAAGCAAGACCUAACCAAUCUAGGAGACACCACUCUUCAAAAGAUAAUACACGGUGUGUUGAUGAUGAACUCCUUGCUCUUGUGCUUCAAAUGAUAGUCUCCCCAACACUCAACUCUCUCACACAGAUUUGGCUAUGGUGGAAGAAGGAUUGAGUGGAAAGCAACUUUGGGAAGGCUAGAAAUCAAGGUUCAAAUGGAGGAAUGGAAACUCUUGAUCUCAACACAUGAGUAGGUGGCUCUCUCUCAGAAAAUGAAUGGUGGAAGUGUAGGCACGUUCUGAUGGCUUUCCUAUAUGAGGAAGAAGGGGUGGAGGGGUAUAUAUAGCCUCCACACAAAAUCCAACCAUUACACACUUUUGACCCAACUCGGUGGCACUGAUCAGAAAUCUCGAUGACACCGGCCUGUGUAAAGAUAUGAACAUUAGGAACUUUGGUGGGACUGACGGGAACAACUCGAAGGACCGAUGUGCAAGGGCUUAGGGCAAACCUCGUCUCAGUGGCACCGAUUGCAUCAUCUCGGUGGGACCGAAGUGAAGCAAUAAGGCACUAGAGAGUUGGUAAAGCGUCGGUGGCUCCGAGUGGGAAGUUUCGGUGGGGCCAAGUUGGAAUGUAGGGUUUGGACAUAUUUGGAUAGAUAAAGUGGUUGAGGAUUUUGGAGCAAUAUCACUAAGCACUUUGAGCAAAUAGAUCAUUAAGCAACACCUCAUCCCCUUUUAAUAGUAUUGGCUUUCCUAUGGGCUCAAUGUGAUCUUGGAUCACUUAACCAAAAAUGUAGAGUCUUGAGCUUUUGCCAAUCCAUUUCCUUAGCAUUUUGAGGGGUCCACAAUCACUAGUCAUUGCCUUGCCAAUCAUUGAACAUCCUGAAAUAUUUAUCUUAAACGGACAUUAGUUCAAUGAGAUAUAUGUUGUUAUGAAUUACCAAAACCACCCGGGGAUUAGUUGCACUUUCACCAUGGUUCUUGGCUUGUCCUUCCCGAGCUGUUUUUGUACUGGACCUGCCCGAGCUGUUGUGCCAACCAUUCGUCCCGGAUACUAUGUCGAAACGCGUUGAUCGCUUCUGCAUCAGGCCAGUCAACUAUCUGAUUCUUUUUAGUUAAUAUUGAUUCCGGAAUUCCCUAGUAGACUUGUCGGGCUCUUGAAUGAUGUGGCUAAGGUCAUCAGGAUCCAGAGCCCUAACAUGUGUGCCUUGGAAAUUUUCCCGAAAGUUGUCCUCGAGCUGCUCCCAGCUCCCAAUAGAAUUCUUGGGCAGGAUGUUGGGACAAUGCCUUGACGAUCCAUUGAGCUUCAGAAGAAGGUACUUGAUGGCAUGGAGGUUAUCUCCUCGGGCCAUAUGAAUGUGGAGAAGUAAAUCUUCAAUCCACACAGCUGAGUCAGUCGUUCCAUCAUACGCCUCGAUGUUUAUGGGUUUAAACCCCUCGGGGAACUAAUGUUUGAUGACCUCAUCUAUAAAGCAUAUCGGGUGUGCAGGUCCUCGAAAACGAGCUGCCUCGUGCCGAAUAUCAGUUGGUAUCCAAGCAUAUAUUUGCUCUCGAUCCCGUCAGUGCCUAUCCAACCAGGCCUCAUAGCCAACCAGUCGAACGGGCGCAUGUCCUCUUGCUCUGUAAAUGGAUCUAGCUGGAGCUGGAUUUGCGGCUAACUUUUUUUCGCAAAUCAUAGGUCUCAGGGUAUUGGAUUGGAUCCUUGCCUUCAUGGCUAGGUGUUAUGAGGGGAAUUAUGUUUUCCCCUGUUGGCAUGUCUCGCCCCCUAGGCGGGCGUCUAAGUUGAUCGGCUCAUCCAUUAUUGAAUGGCACGUUCUUGGUUGCUUCGUUGUCAAAGUAAGGGAGCAAACGCCGUCAUGGGUAAGAUUUGGCUCACCCCUCGCGCUGUGCCUCGAAAUCUUGCUCGGCUGCAAGGAUCUCUAUGCACUUGUCAUUGAGCCUGUUUUGAUCAGCCUGAAGCUAUUUUUGUUUCUUUUUCAUGCUCCAGACGGUGGCCACCAGCCUCCGGCGCAACAUUUCUUGUUCGUACAGGUCCUUGGGGACGAUGAAAUCCUCGAGUCCGAGGCUGACGUCUUCCUCAGUCUCUGGGAGGUAAUUGCUUUCCUCGUCCUCAUCGGGCUCUUCGUGAUUUUUGGGGAUCUCAUUGCCUGGUGUCCCUGUGGGGCCAUUCACCUGGUCGGGCGUGGCGUUCUCGCCCGCGCCCUGGUCCUCAACAUCAUCUGGUGUGGCGCUGUUAUCGGUGCCAUCUAUGUUGUUCUGACUCUUGCCCCCCCUAGGUACCUUUUGGUUGCCUAUGAGGGCGUCGGCGUUUGGGGGGGUCCUUGGGCGUGUCGACCAUGUAAACGUCAUAGGUACAUGUUGCUGCACAAUUGCCAGUAUGGGGUAUGGCCCUGGGUGAGGCUACUCCAUGGGUGCCAUCGACAUCUUCGUCCAUGCCAGUAGCCUCAUCGGAGCCAUAGUUCAGUACGUCAGCUAGAUCUUCGACUGGAGCCGGAUUGAUCUAAAAUAUGCCCCGUCGGUUUCUUGAUGCAAGCUCGAGGUCCUGGCUGACCGGGGUUGACUCCUGGUCAGUUGGGGAAGAUAUCGGAUACGAGCUUGACGUUGGUUCUGAGGUCGGGUUCGGCUCAAAGUCGGGUCCCGACGAGAUUGGAGUUGGAUCUGAUGCAGUGAUGAUCGGGUCCAUACUCGAAGUUGGCUUCGGCGCACGAUCUGGUUGGAAGCCCGGAUCGGAAGCCGGCCCCAAGGUCCAGGCCGAGGUGCCCGAGGGAUUCUCGAGCCAAUCUGGCAUACAGCCGGAGAGGGUGAGAUCACCAUGGGCAUCGGCGGUGUACUCCAAGCUCUCGAACACAAUAACUUGAUUCAGGGCGAAGUUUUUGACAUGGUCUAGGUGGCCGAUCAAGUAGGCGUGAAGCACAAUGUUGUCGAACGUGAAAAGCUAGACGGGGACGAAAACAUCGCCACAACCAAUGUUGUCGUCGAUCUGCAGACGAGCCAUCGAUCCUUUUCGAUCACACAACGGGGCUCUCAGUGAAAGCACCAAUGUUGAUACUAAAACCGGCUGAUCUUGGAUAGGGGGUCCCGAGUUGUGGAUUUUGGAUCAAUUGGUAAUAGAAGACAAAGGGCACGAUGUUUUACCCAGGUUCAAGCCCUCUUGAAGUGGUAAAACCCUAUGUCCUGCUUGAUUAUAUUGAUGAUGGAGUAUCAAGUACAGGUUGAUCUACCUCAAGAUCAUAUGUUGUAUUCUAUACCCUAAGGUUGAUGAUUCUUUCUCUACGGACUAACCCCACGGUUUACAUAGGCACCUGGGGCAACUAGGGUUACACAUGGUCAGUUAUCAACUAGGAAUAUACACGCCAACAACCGGAGUAGUCCUUGAAGUACACGCUAAGUCUUCGGUAGAGUCCAUCUUGACUACGCCGGGGUUCGAGGCUUUCGGAGUCCUUCCUUGUGAGAUCAGUGGGCCAUAAGCUCGGUCCAUGGACUGCGGGCCAACUAGGUUGGUACCCCUUAGUGCAGGACACCAACAAUGGUCAUACCAGCCUUUCCGUCACGGUCACUUGCCACAUUUUAUCAUUACUGCUCACUUGCUCCAAAUGAAUAAUUUCCUAAAGAUAAGAUGCAAGUGAAGUCGGGACCAUGUACUAGGACUUAUCAUCUCAAAGGCAAAAUAGCUAUACAAAGAAGACAAGGGAAAUCUUUUUUGGGGUUUUCUGGUUUUAUAAAGAUCAAGAAGCUUAAGUACAAAGAAGAAAGAAGAAAGGAAAGAGCAAAAAUAACACGAACAACAGCAAAGAGCCAAGGAGAGUCAAAGAAAACCCAUAAGAGCAAAUAAAGAGAAAUAUUUUUUGGAGUUUUUGUUUUCUUAAAGAAAGACAAGAAGCAAAGAGAAAGCACAAAACCCAAAAAGAAGCAAAGAAAAACUAAAAAGAGCCAAAGAGAAAGUGGCAACGAGAGAGUAGGCAAAACAAGUAUAUUUUUAUUUUUCGAAGGGCUUAAAAACCAAUAAGAAAGCAAAACAAAUGAGAAAUAUAUUUUUGAGAUUUCUCAAACUUUAGAAUAGCAAGCAAAAUCAAAGAAACAACAAAAAAUGAUAUCUUUUUGUUGUUUUCAAAAGAUCAAGAAACAAACCAAAAAGAGCUAGAGAAGAAAGAAUGUAAUCUUUUUGGAGUUUUCUUUAUAAAAGAACAACAAAAACCAAACAAGAAUAAAAAGGAGAUAAUAAUAGACAAGGUCAAAGAAAAAAGAAAACAUUUUUGGUGUUUUUCAAAGCAUGUGAGCGUAGGUAAGAAGAUCAAUAAAAAGAGGAAGCGGAAAAGAAGACAAAAAAUGAAAAUGCAAAUGCAAACAAAAUCAACGCCACAAGGAACUGCACGGAAAAAACUUUAAAUCACAAAAAAAACUAUUUUGAAAAAUACCAUGCCAAAUGAUAUGAACAAAAAAAGUAAAAAAAAAAUGAGUUGUAUGGAGUAAAAAUAUACAAAAAAGAGAAAUGUGGUUCCAUGUAUACAUACGUACGUGUGAAGUAAUCAUGAUCAUCGAGUAUUCAAAAUAAUUUGUACAUAAAGAAACAAAUAAAUAAAAUAAAUAAAAGGAAAACAUAAAAAAAUCGAUGAAAAAGGAGGAACAAAUCAAAACAAAAACCCGGCCAGAACCAAGACAAAAGAAAACAGGCAUGCAUGCUCGCCCUCCGUCACUCCACAUUCGGUCCAUUAAUUGAUAAAUAAACCAAAGUACACUAUGCUGCUAGAAAACCUACAGCCCUUGUACAGCUCGUUGGCUCAACAAAACUAAGUCAUGAACAGAUCUUGAUGCAUCAAUUCCAAACUGACGUGCACACCACUGCGAAGCCGCUGCAGGUGAAGGACGUCCGUUGCACCGAUAGCGCGACCUCCUCGGCAUACGGCAGCGGGUUCUUCGUCAAUGACUUGUCGGUCGAGGUCCAGUUCAGCGACUCCAGCUCCACGCCGGCAUAUCCGACUACAAGCUCGGCGCCUUGGUUGUGGCAGCGGAGCUCGGGUAGGCCAGAGCUCGGAUUGCGCACGAUCCGGCCGGCCAGAUGGAAAAAGUAGUUGAGGAAUGACGGCAACCGAGCCUCGAAAGUCUCGACGACGUCAUUUAGCGCAACUCUAACGCACCGACUCAUUUUGUUUUCGCGCGUCAAAUUGAAUCGACGGGAUAAAAAACUCAGCCCAACGCGCUGAUUUAAACGAACGCGCGUUCGCUUUUCGUCCGUCUGUCGAUCCAUUCUGGCCUAAUUCUAAGCCUCAUUUGCGUCAGCGCGGACACGAAACGGACGCGUGCGGCGCCUACCUACUCCUUCCCUUGGCCCGCUAUCGGUGACACAUUAGCCAUUCUCUCCCACCCAAUAUCAACAACAAACCCUCGCCCGCCUCCGCCGCGUCGCCAUCGCCGCCCAUUUUCGGUGCCUCUGCCAGCAGCCGUUGCCGACACACCUCCCCCCAAUGCCGCCACCACCGUCUCGCCGCCAGGGCACCGAAACUUCCCAGCCCCACCUCCCGACGCCGUCGUGAGCAGGAAGCCGCCCCGGCCAGCUCCUUCGUCCUGACGCCGGCAUGCUCGUCGGACACCUCCAGGCCAGCCGCCUGGUCCAAGGGAGGCGCAUGUCUCUUCGCCGGCCAACUCCUUCGUCGACACCCGCAAGUUGUUCGACAGUUUGCCAAGGUAUAAGAUGGACUCCGCCGACGAGUUUUUUUUCCACAAUUUUCUUUGCGACUCCAAUGAUUCCUCGUCCGAUGAUGAGGAAGAGAUCUUGGCUGCUGUGUUGGUCCAUCACCACCUUAAUAGCCAGCGGCCGUUGUUCCGUGGCUCGAUCCUAAGGCACCUUACGGCGUUGAUCACAACCUAGAGAGCGACUAUUUCCUUCUUUGAAAGGACUACUUUGACACAAUCGACCUGUUGUUUAAACAUCAGAAAUUUCGGCGGCGUUUCAGUAUGAAUAUGCAUCUUUUCGACCGUAUUAGAGAGGGGGUGGUCAGAUACGAUAACUAUAUCGAGUGCAAAGAGGAUGCCUUUGAAAAGAUUGGCUUCUCAUCUUAUCAAAAAUGCAUUGCAGCCAUCCGGAUGCUUGCAUACGGAGUGCCCGGUGAUUUCAUUGAUGACUACGUCCGUAUGAGCGAAUCUACAAGUCUAGACUCUUUGUACAAGUUCUGCAAGGCUGUGAUUGCUGUGUUUGGCCCUGAGUAUUUGAGAGAGCCGACUCCUCAAGAUACAGCCCGCUUGCUGGCGAUGAAUGCCAGCAGGGGCUUCCCAGGGAUGCUUGGCAGCAUAGACUGCAUGCACUGGGAGUGGAAUAACUGCCCUUCUGCUUAGCAAGGGCAGUAUAAGGGUCAUGCCAGGGCUUGCAUUGUCAUACUUGAGGCAGUGGCCUCACAAGAUCUCCGGAUCUGACACUUUCUUCGGCAUGGCCGGAUCACACAAUGAUAUCAAUGUGCUUCAACGCUCGCCGGUGUUUGCAAGGCUUGUCGAAGGCAACAGCCCGUCGGUGAAUGUUUCCUUCAACGGCCAUAACUACGACAAAGGAUACUACCUAGGUGACGGUAUCUAUCCUCAGUGGACCACUAUUGUGAAGACAAUCCCCAACCCUGUCGGAGAGAAGGAAAAAAGAUCUGCCCAAGAGCAAGAGAGUUCUAGGAAGGACGUCGAGUGUGCCUUUGGUGUUUUGCAAUCUUGAUGGGGUAUCUUUUGGUAUCCUGCUAGGACUUGGAGCACCAAGAAGUUGUGGAAGAUGAUGACUGCUUGUGUGAUCAUGCAUAAUAUGAUUGUAGAAGAUGAGCGCCCGGAACGUUUCUACGAUCAAGGGUUUUAGUUUCAGGGUGAGAAUGGUGUGCCUGAGCAUGGAGGAGCGGCAAUGUUUGAACAGUUCACCCAAUUUUAUCAUGAAAUGCGUGAUUGGAAAACUCACAUGCAACUGCAAAAUGAUUUGGUUGAGUAUAUGUGGGCUCAUGUUGGCAACCAAUAGAUGUAUCUUUCUUAUUUGGCUUGUAAAACUAUGUGAGACAAUUUAAUUUUUAUUCGGCUUGUAAAACUAUGCUUAAUUUGUUUAGUUGUGAAACUAUGCUUUAUUUGGUUGUGAAACUAUAUGUUUGCUUGUGAAAUAAUGCAAAAUGUGUGCAUAUUUGUUGAAAAAAGGCGGCCGGCCGGCCACGUCGGCAAAUAUGGGUCGAUGCGUUGGACGCACUACCGACCCAAAUGAUAAACAAGGCAAACACCAAGCAGGCGGCCGACCCAAACGGACAAAAAACAAACAAAACUGUCGUCCGUUUGGGUCGACGCGUUGGAGUUGCUCUUAAUCGCCGAAAGGUCUGGGAUAGACGCAUGUCAUUGACAUUUGUUCGUCGGAAAGAAGGUCGAUACUGAAAAAGGCGACCACGUGCGGCUCAAUGGGAGGAUCAGAGGCUUUCACGAGGCGGCGGCUCACCACGCGGAUGGGCAGGCCAGGGACUUUGUAGUGGCGUUUUGGCACAUGAGAGCGUGCGCUCUUAAUUUUCAAAAUGUGUUUUAAACAUAUUUUGAAAUGUCAAAAAAUUCCAAAUAAAAAUUUGGCGCGUAAAUCUUGAUAUUGUACAUACUCACAAAGUCGUUCUGCGAAAAACCGACAAUUUUAUGUCACGUGUGAAAAAGACAAAAUCCAGUGUUAAAAAAUGAUUUUCACAAAACAUCAUUUUGUUUUUUUACACAAGUCAUAAAAAAUCUCGGUGACAUGCAUACAUAUAAUGUUGAGAUGUAUGCGCUAAUUUUUUUUUGGAAUUUUUUCAUACUUUAAAAUAUAUUUUUUCAUAUGUAGGAGCGUGCGCUCCCAAGAGCACCAACGGAUUUCCGCUUCGGCGACCCACUUGUUCUUCCUUACGCAGCUGUCAUAUUAUGUACCAUGGCAAUCUACUACUCCUUCGUAAAGAAAAAUAUAAAAAUGAUGUAAAGAUUAUUAUAUUUCUUUACGGAGUAUUUUAUCCAUAAACAAAUAUAAGAGCAUUUAUGUAACACCCGGAUGUAAUUUACCUUAUUUGUACUCCAACUCUUGCCGUUUCCGGCACUAAGUUAUUUCAUUUCGUCGUUGUCGGUUUUUUGUCUCCGUGUGUGUUUGUCUUUGUCAUGCAUCUCAUAUCAUGUCAUCAUGUGCAUCGCAUUUGCAUACGUGUUCGUCUUAUGCAUCCGAGCAUUUUCCCCGUUGUCCGUUUUGCAUUCCGGCGCUCCUAUGUCCUCCGGUGGUCUUUUCUACCUUUUUUCGUGUGUGGGAGUUAAACAUUUCCGGAUUGGACCGAGACUUGUCAUGCGGCCUUGGUUUACUACCGGUAGACCGUUUGUCAAGUUUCGUAUCAUUUGGACUUCGUUUGAUACUCCAACGGUUAACCGAGGGACUGAAAAGGCCUCGUGUGUGUUGCAGCACAACACCCUUCCAUUUUGGCCCAAAAUCCAUCAAAAACCCCUCCAUCAUCUAGAGAGUUCGAUCACGAUCGCGUGGCCGAAAACCGCACUCCAUUUGGAGCUUCCUAGCUCCUCCUACCUAUAAAACUAGGUCUCCCCCAAAAUUUUCGGGUCUUCCCUACCCUAAACCUAGCUCCUCUUCCUCUCCGCGCGCGGACACGUCCGCCCGCGCCGGACGAAUCCGCCGCCGCCAACCCUGAGCCGCCACCUGUCCCGAGGGACCGCAUCGCCCCCGCCUCCCACCGACGCGGGCCCGCAGGCCCAGCGCCGGCCCUCUACCUCGCCCGACCGGCCCGCGCGCCUCCCCGCCGCUUGGAGCGCAGCGCCACCGCGCCACCCUUCUCCUACCUCGCCUCCGCCGCCCCGUCCCACACNNNNNNNNNNNNNNNNNNNNNNNNNNNNNNNNNNNNNNNNNNNNNNNNNNNNNNNNNNNNNNNNNNNNNNNNNNNNNNNNNNNNNNNNNNNNNNNNNNNNNNNNNNNNNNNNNNNNNNNNNNNNNNNNNNNNNNNNNNNNNNNNNNNNNNNNNNNNNNNNNNNNNNNNNNNNNNNNNNNNNNNNNNNNNNNNNNNNNNNNNNNNNNNNNNNNNNNNNNNNNNNNNNNNNNNNNNNNNNNNNNNNNNNNNNNNNNNNNNNNNNNNNNNNNNNNNNNNNNNNNNNNNNNNNNNNNNNNNNNNNNNNNNNNNNNNNNNNNNNNNNNNNNNNNNNNNNNNNNNNNNNNNNNNNNNNNNNNNNNNNNNNNNNNNNNNNNNNNNNNNNNNNNNNNNNNNNNNNNNNNNNNNNNNNNNNNNNNNNNNNNNNNNNNNNNNNNNNNNNNNNNNNNNNNNNGCCGCCGCCCGCCGUCAGAUCCCAUCGGGGAGAGGCCGGCUUCGCCUCUCCUUCGCCUCCCCGCCGCCUUGCCGACCUCACCGGAGCAAGAACACCUUGCCGGAGUGGCCUCGGAUUGCGUGCCCGCGAGGAACCCUAGAUCUGAGGGUUGACCUUUUUGCCUCUGUUUUAAUAUUUUUUUUGCAAUCUUUGACAUGCCAUAACUCUGCAUUCGUAGCUCCGAUUCGUGCGUGUAGCAUAUCAAAAUGUUCGUCUCGACAAGUACAUAAUUUCAUCUUAUGGCAUUAUUUCAUUUGAGCUCAUCUUGAUGCCCGAAAUGCUGUUGGAAGAGGGCUAUGUGAUGAAUUUGUCAUAUCUGUUUCAGCAAAUAGCAUUUUGUCAUUUUUGCCAUGAUUAAUGUGUGCAUGCUAUGAUCCUGAGCUCUACAUGUGUUUUGUUAUAUUUCAUGCCAUCUUUACAGGGGUGUAUACCAUGUAUUUUCGCGAUAUUUGUGGUGACUAGCACAAGCUUGCAAAGUAGCGUAAUCGUUGAUGUUGAUUUCAGGGACUUAGAAUUUCACUAAGUCCUUGUUCUGUUUUUGUUGUUAUGCCAUAUGUUCAUGUUGUUUCCUAGUGAUCCGUGCCUCUUUUGAGGAUGAUCAGUAAGGAUGUUUUGUUAACAUUGUGGUGCUCUAUCCAUCCAUGUCUUUGUUUGCAUUUAUGAAGCACCCUAGCUUGAGUCAAUCGAGCUCUACUUUUGCUAUAAAAUAAUCCUGGCAGAUUGUUGACAUGUUUAGCGAUUUUGCCGAGGAUGUUGUUAUUGAUCCGUGCAUGCUAUGUUGUUGUUCUUGACAUGUCUAGCUUCUAUGCCAUGUAUUCUUGAUGGGGGUAUGCUUAGUUUGUCAUGCCAUGCUCUGUAGUGAGUGCAUCGAGUUCGUAAACAUGCCUACUUGUCAAAUCUGUUUGCAUGCUCCAGUUUUUCACUAAGUCUGAAUCUGUUUAUGAUUUUGCCAUGUUCACAUGCUUGCAAUUGUAUUUUAUGAUCCCUUUUGGCUCAAGGUCACUAAGGGACUUUUGUUAAGUGCUUUGAGUAGCUUCAUUCCAUGCCUUGCUUUGCCUUGUUAAGUUCCUGUAGCAUGUAGUUUUCAUGCUCUAAAGAUUGCUUCCUGAUAAUAAAUUCCAGACUUGUGUUAAUUUCACUAAGUCUGAAACCUGUUAUCAUUUGCACUUUUGCCAUACUUGUUUGAACCUGUUAAUGGGUGAAUUAGCCGUAGCUCAGUGUUCAUCUUUUUUCAAGCUUCAUGAUUGGAUCCCUAUCAUGUAUUUUGUUGUCAUGUUUGAGUGCUGUAGCAUAUUUAUCUUGAUGCAUUUAGUUGGUCACUUGCUAAUUAUCGCAGACCAGUGCCAUAUUUGUUUUGCUUGCCAUUUCCAAACCGUGCAUCCGAUUCCGGUGAUUUUUAUAUCGAUUUCAAUCGAAAUCACAUUACCUUUCCAGUGGCACUCUUGGAUUUCCAAGUUGAGGCUAGGUUCAAUUAUUCCUUGGCAAAUCUUGCAUAUGCAUCACAUACCGCAUCUCGCAUAUCAUACCAUGUUUGCAUCAUGUUGUUUGAGCAUUGCACAUAGUUGAUUGUGUUCCAUUUGCUUGUCGUUUUUGUUUGGGUAGAACCGGGAGACGAGUUCGUGAACGAGGAGCCCGUUGAGUUGGCUUACGAGGAUCAAGUCAACUCUGACAACUUUGCAGGCAAUAUGAUCAUACCCUCGAAAUCACUUCUAUCUUUGCUUGCUAGAUGCUCGCUCUUUUGCUAUGCCUAUGCUACAAUACCUACCACUUGCUUAUCAUGCCUCCCAAAUUGCCAUGUCAAAUCUCUAACCCACCAUGUCCUAACAAACCGUUGAUUGGCUAUGUUACCACUUUGCUCAGCCCCUCUUAUAGCGUUGCUAGUUGCAGGUGAAGAUUGGAGAUCGUUCCUUAUUGGAACACUGUUUAUUGUUGGGAUAUCACCAUAUUAUCUUGUGUAUCUUAAUGCAUCUAUAUACAUGGUAAAGGGUGGAAGGCGCGGCCUUUUGCCUAGUGUUUUGUUCCACCCUUGCCGCCCUAGUUUCGUCAUAUCGGUGUUGUGUUCCCGGAUUUUGCGUUCCUUACACGGUUGGUGUCGGUGUCAAAACCGGUGGAUCUCAGGUAGGGGGUCCCGAACUAUGCGUCUAGGCCGGAUGGUAACAGGAGGCAAGGAACACGAUGUUUUACCCAGGUUCGGGCCCUCUUGAUGGAGGUAAAACCCUAUGUCCUGCUUGAUUAAUAUUGAUGAUAUGGGUAGUACAAGAGUAGAUCUACCACGAGAUCAAGGAGGCUAAACCCUAAAAGCUAGCCUAUGGUAUGAUUGUUGUAUGAUGAAGUUGUCCUACGGACUAAAACCCUCCGGUUUAUAUAGACACUGGAGAGGGUUAGGGUUACACAAAGUCGGUUACAAUGGUAGGAGAUCUUGAAUAUCCGCAUCGCCAAGCUUGCCUUCCACGCCAAGAGAAGUCCCAUUCGGACACGGGACGAAGUCUUCAAUCUUGUAUCUUCAUAGUCCUGGAGUCCGGCUGAAGGUAUAGUCCGGCUACCCGAACACCCCCUAAUCCAGGACUCCCUCAGUAGCCCCUGAACCAGGCUUCAAUGACGACGAGUCCGGCGCGUAUAUUGUCUUCGGCAUUGCAAGGCGGGUUCCUCCUCCAAAUUCUUCAUAAAAGUUUGUAAACACCAAGAGUAGUGUCCGGCUCUGCAAAAUAAUUUUCCACGUAUUGCCACAGAGAGAAUAAUAUUAACACAAAUCUAAUCUGCUGACGUAUUCCGCAGCGUGACAUCACACUACGCCCAAGCCUUUAUUCGAAUCAUUUUCACUUUUCCACCUCAGCGUGUUUUGCGAGGCGGUUUCCUUGGCACGUCUUGUCAAAGCAGAGAUCGUGUCCCCCAUUUACGGGAUUCUCAUCAAUACGGACGUGGGUAACCCAACCGCGCCAUUUAUCACGACGCUUGGGAGGCAAGCGAGUUUUACUAGGCUGGUGGGGACGCAUAGUCGCAUCCGCUCAUAUAAGGGGAUAAGGAUCCACCUUUUUACCUACGCCUUCUUCCUCCUUUGCCUAUCCAUCUUCUGCGCACCCGAGCUCCAGCGCCCAAGCCCGCACUUCCUACCUCAACCUUCUCCAACAAUGUCCGGAGCGGGAGGCAAGUGGAUGGUCUCCUCCGUCACGGAGGGCCAUGUCAAAAGGCUAAGGAAGGCCGGAUACCUGUCCAAAGACAUCGCGCACCGGCUUCCUGAGGAGGGGCAGCUUCUCCCCACCCCAAGGCCCCAUGAGAGGGUAGUAUUUCUUCCCCACUUCCUCCGCAGACUGGGUUUUCCUCUCCACCCAUUUGUCCGCGGGCUCAUGUUCUACUAUGGCCUAGAUUUCCAUGAUCUGUCCCCGAACUUCAUCCUUAAUAUCUCGACGUUUAUCGUCGUGUGCAAGGCUUUCCUCUCAUCCGCCCCCAUUUCGGCCUCUGUCUCAAGACCAUCAACGUCAAGCCAAAGGUGGUGCGCGGCAACCAGGCGGAGUGCGGAGGUGCCAUGGCGGGCAAAAUAGCCAACGUCCUAUGGCUCGAGGGCUCCUUUGUGGAGACCUUGAAGGGGUGGCAGUCAGGGUGGUUUUACAUCACCGAGCCAUGCGAUCUGAAGUGGAUUGCAGCCCCUGAAUUCCGAUCCGGACCCCCUACGCGGCUCACGUCCUGGAAGGAGACGGGCUUAUCGUGGGGCGACGAAGAAGAGGUGACCGGACUGCAAAAAUGCAUCCAGUCCCUGGUGAACAAGCAGCUCAAGCUUGUCAACGUAGUCCAGGUCAUGCUCGUCCGCCGGAUCCUUCCGUGUCAAGAUCGGGACUUCAAUUUGUGGGAGUUCAACCCGGCGCAGCACCGAACUCUGAGCAGGCUCUUCGACACGACGUACGAAGAUGUCUGGAAGGGGCUAACCAAAGGCGCCGAGGCUCCCACAUCCGCCUCCGAAGACCGCGGAUUUAGCUCGUAGCGUCCUGCUGGCGAGGUAAAAUAUUUUCAUCUUUUACAGGAUGUUAAGUUUUCUUCAUAGUUUGACUCUAUGCGGGAUCUAAACUCCCUCACCUUUGACAGGAUUGGCAGGCGAAGUCCGGACUGAUUAACUGUCCGGCUCCCUUGCCCGAAGACCCAGCCCCUGCUCUCCUAGUGAAGCUGCUGGUUCCGGCACCUUAUGUGGUGCCGGAGAAGAAGGCCACGGGGACUCGAAAGAGUUCCCGACAUAUGGUGGUGUCGGACUCGUCGUCCGAUGAGUCCGAGACGCACUCCUCCCGUGAAGAUGAGGAGGAAGAAGAGACCUCUCCCCCUCCAGCGGGGGGAGGAAAGAAGAGGAAGGCCGCCCUAGUAGGGGGGCGAAGGGUCCAAGAAGAGGAAAACCCCUCCGCCGGACUACGUCCCCGACGCCGACGAGGACGAAGAGGAGUGGCCGGACAGGGCCAAGCAUCCGGCGAAAUCGUAAGUGUUCGGAUACCAGAGUAACUCAUGAUAUUCCUUUUGUUGCGCAGCUUUCCCUAAUGUCGAAUAUAAUCAUGCAGCCCGCCCAAGGACGGGCUCGCCGAGUCAUCGAGCGGCUCCCUGGAUUCAUCGGACGUGAAUUCAGUUCCGCCCGCUGCCUCCCCCUGUGCUGCGGAUGACGCUGAAGUGGUGUCGCGACAAGCUCCGGGGCAAGAGGAGGUGGUCCAGGAGGAGCCGCGAGGCGACCUCCCGGACUCCAGGAGUAAAGGGGACAAGACCCCCCAGGGCUCCAAGUCCAGCUUUAAGCUGGACACCGUGCCGAAAUCAUCAAUGGUUCCGGACCGCGGCAGGCGAACUCCUGCCAAGAGGAGCAAGCCUAUUGAGCCGGCGUCCUCCGUCCAACCGAAGGCGCCGGACAAUCUGCUGGAGGUGCUUAAGGGUGCCUCCAUCGACGAGGAGCACCGUACCAUCAUGAGUACGGUGGUCCAGAAGGUUCGGUCCGCCAAAAGCGGACUUACUGAAGCUUGUGCUAGCCUUCUAACAGGCUUCGAGGUAAGUAGAAAUAUGUAAAAAUAUUACCGCAUAGACAGUAGCCCCUGAUGCUCUGUUUGGCAUUCGGAAAGAAAAGCCGAAUAGAGGAUCUAUUAAAUAUCAUAGGAGUCUAACUAAAAAGGAGUCAAUAUACGUAUGCAGGCUUCGCUGCUGGCCACCGCCGCACUGACUGCGGAGGUGGAUGCCCUGAAGCAGGGCCUCAAGCGGAUCGAGCAAGAGCUCGGCCUUGCCAAAUGGCAGCUCGAGGACAAAGAAGGUAAGAGAUACCUUAUAGAAAAAAUGCCUAUAAGAAGACGCAAUUGCAAAAAAUGACAGGAGUAUACUACUUAUUGUAGGGGCCACAACUGAGGUGGCGACCCUCAAGCAGGUGCUGUCCGAGGCCAAGAAGAGAGCGGCCACGGAGCGCACCAAGCGGGAGAAAUUUGAGGCGCAGGUCGGCGAGGUGCAGCAAGAGCUUCAGGCUCUCAUGAAAAAACAUGAGAGUUUGGAGCUCGACUCGAAGACGCGAGCGUCCGAGCUUGCUGCGGCCCUUAAAACUGCCAAAUCUGCCAAGGCCGAAGCCCAGAAGGCCCUCCAGGAAUUGGAUGCGGUGAAAAAGAUAGCGACGGGUAAGGCAUUCUCUAUGCAAAGCAGACAUAUAAAAGUAAACUACUUGUUACUUACCCGAAUCCGGAGCUCUCCAGAGGCAUUCGCAGAUCUUCCCCGCAGCGUAUCCGAUGCCGCCGCAUUCUACCGAGCCGAGGAAGGCAGCUCGACGGAGAAGGUGUUCUGGUCUCAGUACGCUGAGGCUGGACACCCUGUGCCCUUGAGCGACCAGCUGAAGCAGCUGGUCGAGCUCCACAAGGCGGCCGAACAGGCCCUAAAGGGCUUCAUAGUUCGGCUGUGGCCUGGAGAGGCCCUGCCUGGGAGCUACUUCGGACUGGUGCGGCGGCUGGUGGAGGCUUGUCCAAGGCUCGAGGUCAUCAAGCGCUCCGUCUGCAUCGAAGGUGCCCGUAGGGCCCUUGCCCGUGCAAAGGUGCACUGGGGUAAGCUGGACGGUGAGAAGCUUGUGAGGGACGGGCCGCCGCCGGGGAAGGAGCAUCGCAAGCCCGAGAACUAUUACAAGGAUGUUCUGGCCGGUGCCCGCCUUAUGGCGGAUGAAUGCACCAAGGAUGUAAUUUUUGAAUGAACUCGCUCGUGUUAUCCUGUGCGCUGAAAACUUGUUCAUAUGAGCUAAGCAAUGCUUGAAUUUAAAAUAUUACUUUCUGUGCGGCCGUUUAUCAAAAAAUUGAGAGAUGGCCAGUCGUCGGCUUCUGCCCCCAUGUCACUAGUGCUGGGGUGUUCGGGAUAAACCUGAGUGCUCUUUUUCCCAUGAUUGGGUCCGUCGAGGGAGGCGCUCAGCACAACGAACAAGGCAAUCGGACUAUAAUGCUUGAACACUCUCACUUAGCCAUAGAACUCUAUAAUUUUAAGUUUUGGCGAAGCCCCUAGUAUUCGCAAGACCGAGUUCGGGGCGCUAUCCACGCCUUAGCCGGACAAAGCCGGUUCCUCGCUCGAAGCGGCAUAAGUCUUUAAGGACUCGAAAAACCUCUCGAACAGCGACCGGUCUCUCGCCUCAUCAUGACAGUCAGUUUUAGCUUUCUCUACUGAGGUGCUUAGCCCAGCUCAACUGGGGCACAAUCGCAGUAGUUCUCCUAGUGCUACCUUAGCCGAUAUAGCGGAACAUAAGGCACCAAAACAUAGGAGCCGGGCAAACCCAACUAUUGACCCAAAUCAUGAUUCGGAGCCGAUGCAUAUAGUGCUAUAAGUUCGGGGUGCCGCACUUGUGAAAGUGUACGGACUUCUCACGCCAUAUUGAUGGGUACUGAAGCCCCUGGCGUAUCUUUGCCGUACCACAGUGUACGGAUGCAACAUGUUAUUCAUAAACAUAUAUAUAAAAAGAGGAUAAUGCAAAAAAUAGACAAAAAGCUAUGCAUUGUUUAUAGAAAGGCUGCUAUGAAAGCGGAACGAUACAAAUAGUCCGAUAAGCAAAAGAAAUUGGACUAUUUAACAUGUCCUGGCCAGGGGCAGGCCGCGGAAUUGUAUUAAAAAACAGGUAUACUGCUCGCAAUAGAGACCACCUGGGAGUUCCAUAAUACGGCGUGGCUUGUCUGCUUUCCUGGAUCUUGCAUUGUUUGUGCGGCAGUUGAAUUGCCGAACGGGUCAUCCAAAGUAUGGAGUCCUGAGAGUAAGAGAAAAAAAGAAAAAAAAGGGAAUCCAGCAGCCCCUGGUGCGGUUUAAGCCGUAUUUCGGGCGUGCCGUGAUAGUGCCCCUUCCCCUGUGCCCAUGGUAUUUCAAGAGCGUAGUUAUGUACGCGAAGCACUGAUUUCGCUAUAUCGCGAGGGCUAGGGUUGGGGCCGCAUUGCUACGCUAGCUCAGAACGUGCCAGGCGGUCUUGUUGUAGGGUACUUCGGGCGCGCUUGACAGUGUCCAGCUUUUGAAGGCCGAACUGGAGAACUGCCUAGAGAGACUGCUUUGUACUUCUGCUGCGAGCGCUGCCGUGUGCUCCUCCGUUUGGAGGGAGCGUUCAGUGUUCCCAUUGACCGUGAUUACUCCUCUAGGGCCUGACAUCUUGAGCUUGAGGUAUGCAUAGUGCGGUACCGCGUUGAAUUUUGUGAAUGCGGUUUGCCCGAGCAGUGCUUGAUAGCCACUACGGAACGGGGCUAUGUCGAAGAUUAACUCCUCGCUUCGGAAGUUAUCCGGAGAUCCGAAGACCACUUCCAGUGUGACUGAGCCUAUACAGUUGGCUUCUACACCUGGUAUGACGCCUUUAAAGGUCGUUUUGGUGGGCUUGAUCCUUGAGGGAUCUAUGCCCAUUUUCGCACUGUAUCCUGGUAAAGCAGGUUCAGGCUGCUGCCGCCGUCCAUGAGGACUCUUGUGAGAUGAAAUCCAUCAAUGAUUGGGUCUAGAACCAAUGCGGCGAAGCCAUCGUGACGGAUGCUAGUGGGGUGGUCCCUUUGAUCAAAGGUGAUCGGGCAGGAGGACCAUGGGUUGGACUUUGGGGCGACUGGCUCCAUCGCAUAUACGUCCCGUAACGCACGCUUCCGCUCCCUCUUGGGGAUGUGGGUUGCGUAUAUCAUGUUCACCGUCCGCACUUGUGGGGGAAAUCCCUUCCGUCCACCAUUGUUCAGCGGCCUGGGCUCCUCCUCGUUGUCGCUAUACAGCCCCUUGUCUUUGUUUUCGGCUCUUAACUUGCCUGCCUGCUUGAACACCCAACAAUCCAUGUUGGUGUGAUUGGCUGGCUUUUCGGGGGUGCCAUGUAUCUGGCACAAGCGGUCGAUUAUUCGGUCCAAACUGGACGGGCCCUGAGUAUUUCUUUUGAAUGGCUUUUUCCGUUGACCGGAUUUGUAGCCUCGGAAUCCGGCAUUAACUGCCGUAUCCUCGUUGCUGUCGCUGUUAACGCGGCACUUUUGUUUGUUCCGACGCGACCUGUCGCUCUUGUCCUUGGUAUUCGAAUUACCAGGGUUCUUGGUUAAAUUGUUGUUGCGAGCUAGCCAGCUGUCUUCUCCCGCGCAAAAGCGGGUCAUGAGUGUCGUGAGGGCUGUCAUAGAUUUCGGCUUUUCCUGUCCCAGGUGCCGGGCAAGCCACUCGUCACGGAUAUUAUGCUUGAAGGCCGCUAAGGCCUCUGCGUCCGGACAGUCGACUAUCUGGUUUUUCUUUGUUAGGAACCGUGUCCAGAAUUGCCUGGCCGAUUCCUCUGGCUGUUGAAUUAUGUGGCUUAGGUCAUCGGCGUCCGGUGGUCGCACAUAAGUGCCCUGGAAGUUGUCAAGGAAUGCGGCUUCCAGGUCCUCCCAAGAACCGAUUGAGUCUGUUGGCAAGCUGUUAAGCCAAUGCCGGGCCGGUCCCUUAAGUUUGAGUGGGAGGUAUUUGAUGGCGUGUAGAUCAUCACCGCGGGCCAUGUGGAUAUGAAGGAGAUAAUCCUCGAUCCAUACCGCAGGAUCUGUUGUGCCAUCGUACGAUUAGAUGUUUACGGGUUUGAAGCCCUCAGGGAUUUUAUGAUCCAUUACUUCAUCUGUGAAGCAUAGUGGGUGUGCGGCGCCUCUGUAUUGGGCUAUAUCAUGACGCAGCUCGAAGGAGCUUUGUCUGUUGAGUUCGGCCCGGCCGGAUUUAUUGCAUCCGGAGUGACGAUCACCGUCACGUGCCGUGGGGCGCCUGCGCGAUCCGUAGAUCGAUCUUGUUUGCCUUGCCUUGUCCUCCAGUAUGUCAUGCAGGUCGGGCGCAUUUUCCUGUGCCUUAGUAUGCUUCACGCGGCGUCGGGGCAUGGCUUGAGCGGAGGUCCAAGAGGCCUCUCUGUCGCGGCCACGAGGUGGCCGGUCGGCCAUGUCAUGCGCUGGUGAUGUAGGUGCUUCCUCCUCUAGUCGGGGUAGCAGCCUGCGCUUUGGGUAACUCUUGGAGGGGCGUUCGAGUUCAUACUCUUCGGCCGCAAGGACUUCAGUCCGUCUGUCAGCUAGAAAAUCCUGAUCAGCUCUAAGCUGUUGCUACUUUUUCUUGAGGCUGCUUGCCGUGGCCAUAAGCCUACGUUUAAAACGCUCUUGUUCGGCGAGAUCCUCUGGCACGACGAACUCGUCGUCAUCGAGGCUUGCCUCGUCUUUGGAGGGAGGCGUAUAAUUAUCGUCCUCAACCUCUUGGUCCGCCGCCCUCUCGUGAGGGCUGACUUCUCUGUCCUCCUGUGCUGAAUCUUGCUGGAGGGGGUGUUCUUCGGCGCUAUCCGGUGUAGUAUUAUCUCCCGUGCCGGAAUCACUGUUUUGCUUUGGCGGGAUUUAGAGCGGCACCGCUGACGCCGGCGCUUGGGCUGUUUCUUAGAGGUAUCGUCCCCCGAUGUUCCAUCGCCAUCUCCAUCCUUUGGAGUGUCCACCAUAUAUAUGUCAUAUGACGAGGUGGCCUUCCAGCGUCCUACAGGUGCUGGUUCUUGUUCGUCUCCUGCAUCGUCGUCCAUGCCGUCGAUGUCUUCGGAGUCGAAGUCAAGCAUGUCGGUUAAGUCGUCGACAGUGGCUACCAUGUGGGUGGUGGGUGGGUUUUGAAUUUCUUCAUCGUCCGUAUCCCAACCUUGCUGACCGUAGUCCGGCCAGGGCUCUCCUGAUAAAGCGAGAGACUUUAGAGAAUUCAGGAUGUCGCCGAAGGGCGAGUGCUGAAAGAUGUCCGCGGCGGUGAACUCCAUUAUCGGCGCCCAAUCGGAUUCGAUCGGCAGGGGCGCGGGGGGCUCGGAGUUCGGAGAGGAAUCUGGCUCCUCGGAGUCACGGGCCAUGCGGAGUGCGGGGCUGGAGUUCGACUCGAUCGCCUCUGAGAUCGCAGCCCCUGAGGCAGCGUCCAACCGCUGAUCCUCGAUCGGCGCAGUAGGCUCCGAAUCAAUGGUCGGAACCGAUGCGUGUGCGGCCUCCAAGGCGCUGUUCGGCGGCAGAGCUAUAUCAUGCCCAUCGAGACAGUGCGGCGCGCUUGGCUGUGGCUCGAAUCCGUCGAAAAUCAAGUCCCCGCGGAUGUCAGCCGUGUAGUUUAGGCUUCCAAACCUGACCUGAUGGCCAGGGGCGUAGCUUUCGAUCUGCUCAAGGUGGCCAAGCGAAUUGGCCCGCAGUGCGAAGCCGCCGAAGACGAAGAUCUGUCCGGGGAGAAAAGUCUCACCCUGGACUGCAUCGUCGUUGAUGAUCGAAGGAGCCAUCGGGCCUAAAAGCGACGACACAGAGGAACUCUCAAUGAAAGCACCAAUGUCGGUGUCAAAACCGGCGGAUCUCGGGUAGGGGGUCCUGAACUAUGCGUCUAGGUUGGAUGGUAACAGGAGGCAAGGAACACGAUGUUUUACCCAGGUUCGGGCCCUCUUGAUGGAGGUAAAACCCUACGUCCUGCUUGAUUAAUAUUGAUGAUAUAGGUAGUACAAGAGUAGAUCUACCACGAGAUCAAGGAGGCUAAACCCUAAAAGCUAGCCUAUGGUAUGAUUGUUGUAUGAUGAAGUUGUCCUACGGACUAAAACCCUCCGGUUUAUAUAGACACCGGAGAGGGUUAGGGUUACACAAAGUUGUUUACAAUGGUAGGAGAUCUUGAAUAUCCGCAUCGCCAAGCUUGCCUUCCACGCCAAGGAAAGUCCCAUCCGGACACGGGACGAAGUCUUCAAUCUUGUAUCUUCAUAGUCCUGGAGUCCGGCUGAAGGUAUAGUCCGGCUACCCGAACGCCCCCUAAUCCAGGACUCCCUCAGUUGGGUUAUAAUGGGAACCCCUUGACAGUUCGCCUUGAAUAAAACUCCUCCAGCAAUGCCUAACCUUGGUUUUACCAUUUGCCACCUAGCCUCUUUUCCCUUUGGGUUUCCAGAGCCCGAGGGUCAUGUAACCGGGAUACCGAGUCUGAUCGGAUUGCCUUGGGAGAAGGAAUAUCCUUCGUUGACCGUGAGAGCUUGUGAUGGGCUAAGUUGGGACUCCCCUGCAGGGAUUUGAACUUUUGAAAGCCGUGCCCGCGGUUAUGGACAGAUGGGAAUUUGUUAAUAUCCGGUUGUAGAUAACAUGAAACUUAACUUAAUUAAAAAUGCACCAACCGCGUGUGUUACCGUGAUGGUCUCUUCUCGGCGGAGUCCGGGAAGUGAACACGGUGUUGGAGUAAUGCUUGACGUAGGUUAUUUUAGGAUCACUUCUUGAUCAUAGUUGUUCGACCGUGCUCUUGCCUUCUCUUCUCGCUCUCUUUUGCGAAUAGGUUAGCCACCAUAUAUGCUAGUCGCUUGCUGCAGCUCCACAUCAUACCUUGCCUUACCUAUAAGCUUAAAUAGUCUUGAUCGCGAGGGUGCGAGAUUGCUGAGUCCCCGUGACUCACAGUUUACUUCCAAACCAGAUGCAGGGACCGAUGAUACCGCUCCAGACGAUGCGCUUGAACUCAAGUGGGAGUUCGAUGAAGACUCCCGUUGUUACUAUGUGCCUUUCCCAGAUGAUCAGUAGUGGUGCCCAGUUGGGGCGAUCGGGGACCGUGUCGCAUGUGAGGGUUGAUCUUUAUUUUCGUACCGUAGUCGGACCAUGAGUGUAUUGGAUGAUUGUAAUGUUAUUCAUGUAUUUGUGUGACGUGGCGAGUGUAAGCCAACUAUGUAUCAUUUUCCUCUUUUAUUUAUUUACAUGGGUUGUUGUGAAUAUUAACUUACUUGUGACAUUGCUUUCAAUGUGGUUAUGCCUCUAAGUCGUGCUUCGACACGUAGGAGAUAUAGCCGCAUUGAGGGCGUUACAAUUUAGAUCACUACUUUAGUAAUCUAAACAGAGGGAGUACUAUCUAAAUAAAUUGAAUCCCUUCGCAUUAAAAAAAUUAUCCAGUGGGAGUAUUUCUUUUCUCUCUAAUAUAAGGGAGAAAAUGAAGUGUAUGGCUGCAUGCACGCCUGACUGACCGAGCACAUCCGCGGACAUUUAGAGAGGCAGAUUUGUUAUUUCUGGCUGUAGAUGGCCUAACAGCAAUAAAUUCCAAGAGAACAUGCCCUUCAACUUCUGAGCGUUGUUCAACUUUCUUUUUCAUCAAAAUAUUAGUUCCUCCCACCCAAAAUAUAAGAUCACUUGAGCUUAUAUUUUGAGACGGAAGGAGUAGAACGCUGACCAAGACAUGUAUUUAUAGAGCAUAAUCUAAGAUACCGGCAUGGUACAUACAUAACAUGGAUAGUGUCAACAACGAUGAACAUCAGGUAGCUCUAAAAGUUUAGUCAAGGUCCUAGCAAACACCAACAGUUAAAACGGGGGCAUCGCAUCAUGCAGCCACAAGGAUGAUAAAUCAGGUUAACUGAUCUCGCUUCCGCCGCAGGAUUAUUGCAGCCCAGGUUUAUCCAUAACCCCAAGAGCUUCUCCACUGAUGCUGCAGCUCCAUGAGGAACCGAACGGACGACAACUGUUGUUACUUCCACGGAAGGCAGGGCAAUC